GGAAGAGUGGCGAACGGGUGAGGAACACGUAAGAAUCUGCCCCUCGGUCGGGGACAACUUUUGGAAACGAAAGCUAAUACCCGAUACGCUGUGGAGUGAAAGAAUUUCGCCGAGAGAUGAUCUUGCGUCUGAUUAGCUAGUUGGUGUGGUAAAGGCACACCAAGGCGACGAUCAGUAGCUGGUCUGAGAGGAUGGACAGCCACAUUGGAACUGAGACACGGUCCAAACUUC
rnacentral:rRNA from 1 species